UACGGGGGGGGCAAGCGUUGUUCGGAAUUAUUGGGCGUAAAGGGCGCGUAGGCGGCUCAUCAAGUCGGGCGUGAAAUCUCCGGGCUUAACCUGGAAAAGUCGUUCGAUACUGUUGGGCUAGAGUGUGGAAGAGGCUACUGGAAUUCCGUGUGUAGCGGUGAAAUGCGCAGAUAUCGGGAGGAACACCAGUAGCGAAGGCGGCUCGCUGGGCCAUUCCUGACGCUGAGACGCGAAAGCUAGGGGAGCGAACAGG
rnacentral:rRNA from 1 species